CCUACGGGAGGCAGCAGUGGGGGAUAUUGCACAAUGGAGGAAACUCUGAUGCAGCGACGCCGCGUGAGGGAAGACGGUCCUCGGAUUGUAAACCUCUGUCUGUGGGGAAGAAAAUGACGGUACCCAAAGAGGAAGCUACGGCUAACUACGUGCCAGCAGCCGCGGUAAUACGUAGGGAGCGAGCGUUAUCCGGAAUUACUGGGUGUAAAGGGAGCGUAGGCGGGCGGGAAAGUUGCAGGUUAAAUCUACCGGCUUAACUGGUAGCUGCGUUCGAAACUUCUUGUCUUGAGUGAAGUAGAGGCAGGCGGAAUGCGUAGUGUAGCGGUGAAAUGCGUAGAUAUUAGGAGGAACACCAGUGGCGAAGGCAGCCUGCUGGGCUUUAACUGACGCUGAAGCUCGAAAGCGUGGGGAGCAAACAGGAUUAGAUACCCUGGUAGUC
rnacentral:rRNA from 1 species